rnacentral:piRNA from 1 species
UCUGCAGAAAGGUCAUGAGACAAGGUGGA